AAAAAAAAAAAAAAAAACUAGGAUAACAUUUCUUAGGAGUCUUUUAAUUUAGGCUCAGUCAACCAUUUUACUUUUUAGUUUAACCCAACAUUUAUGUGGUUUCGAUUCAAACUACUGCGACUUAAGAUAUUAACCCGCCAUAAGGUCACGAGUUAUUGUCUUUAAUUAGUAUAAAUCUUUUUUGGAUUUAAUUUGUGUGAUCAAGAGCAUAACAUGCUUACCCCCAAGAACAUCCCAAUGGCUUUCAUUCAAAAGACAUUCAAAGUGUAACAAAAAAAACCCAACCUUUCAUAUUCUGUUUUGAUAAUAUAUACCUCCCCUUUCUUUUACCUCUCUUUCCGGUGUUAUAUACGAUUUUUAAAUUCUAGCUUAUUCUUUCACAAUGUCGACAAAUGAAACAGCAAAAUGGAUGUCGAUGAUGAUUAAUGUUGUUUUUGUGAUUUCAGUAUCACAAUCCUGCGUUCGUGGAGAACCAAAAGUACCUUGUUUCUUCAUUUUUGGUGAUUCAUUGGCAGAUAAUGGCAAUAAUAACCGCCUCCGGACCCCGGCAAGAGCGAACUACGAGCCUUACGGGAUUGAUUUUCCACAGGGACCAACGGGGAGGUUUACCAAUGGCCGAACAACUGUUGAUUUUAUAGGUCUGCACAUUGUCUCUCUCAUUCUAAAUUUCAUUUAUAGAAAACUUAAUUUUAAUCCUUGGCAAAGAUGACUAUUUGAUUAAAACCAUGAGUAAGAUCAAAAUCUAAUUUUAGUCCCUGAUACAUUAAUAACCUCAUUUAUUAAUUAUAUUUUGAUUUUUUAAUUAUUUAUCUUUUUCUUUCUAAUUUUUAAUGUCUUAAUUUUAUUUCAUUAUAAUUUUUAUUUUCAUUUCAUUCAUCGUAAUAUAUUUUGUUGUGAACAUUUAGAUAAACUAAUUUUUGUUAUACAAUAUAUUUUGAUGUACUUUAUCUUCUUCAUUUAGGUAUAUUAAAUUCAUUAUAAUACAUUUCAGUGCAUACAUUUAGGUACACACAUUUCAGUACAUAUAUUUCGAUACAAACAUUUAGGUACAUUAAUUCAAUAUAAUACAUUUUCGGUACUAACAUUUCAGUGCAUACAUUUCAGUACAUACAUUUAGGUACAUUAAUUUAAUAUUAAUACAUUUCAGUGCAUAUAUUUAGGUACAUACAUUUUGGUACUAACAUUUAAAUAUAUUUGUCACAGCCCGUUCCAAAUUAUUAUAUUCGUGGCUGUGAAUGGACGAAAUUGCCCUUAAGAAAUACUAAAUUGUGAAGCUCAGGUUGCUAAUUAUCUAGGUUCCUAAGUUUGAAAAUAAAAUGGAAUUUAAUAAGGAUGGAACUUAGAUUUUUAGGUUAAAAUGUUAAAGUUUGGUGUUUGGAGAUUGGAAUAAGGACCACGUGGGAUCCCCACAUCCCUCAAAACCCUCCUCAUUUCCCGUUCACUGUCUUUCUCUCUCCUCCUUCACGAUUUCUCACUCUCUCUGUCUCUCUCCUUCGAACUCACACGGACCACCACCAAAACCACCCUAAAUCUAUACCAACGUCAAGUUUGAGACCACCAUUGGAAUCCUGAGGACUUCACGAUCACGUUGGUAUCCAUUUCAGGUAAGUUUUACUUCGGAAAACCUAGAUUCUAAACUCCCCAUGAAAGUGUACUGUUCAUGAGCUUUGAAUUGGUUGAUUUUUAGGACAAUCCAAGCUCAUAGUGAGCUUAGUGAGGUCCCAAGGAAGCUCGGAGUGCUUCGUUGGAAGUUUUUGGACGUAAGAACACGGAGAUCGACAAGUUCAAAGUUUGGCCGGAGCUUUAGAGGCUUUUUCCGGCGAAUCCCCGGCGAGUUAGGAGUCGAGGUAGGUAUCAAUCUCUUCGUCUCGUCAAGUACUACAACUUUCCUUUUUGUUUCACUCAAUUUCGUUGAGUAUUGAAGAAGUUAUACUCAUUUGAAAAAUACCCAGUUUCCGGCGACCUCCGAGGCUUUCGAGGCAGUUUCCGGCCAAACCACGGCGAACUAGGUGUUGUGCAAGGUACCAUUCUCUUUGUCUCUUCAAGGGCUACAACUUUCGUUUUUGAAUCACUUGAUUUCGUUGAGAAAUGACAAAGUUAUGGCAAUUUGAAAAACUGCCGGAAAACGGCCGCCGGAAAAACCAGUCCGGCGACCCAAGGAAGAAGAAGGUGCUACAGUAAAAAAUAAAAAAUAAAAAUAAAAUUAUUUUAAAAAUAUGUCGACGUCCGUGACGUCGAGUAGAUCACUGUGGUAUAUUCAUAUACCUAAAUUGAACACCGUAUGAGAAAGUUAUUGAGGAUUGUUGGUUAGGUGUUCGAAUAACGUUUUAUAGUUUUCACAUUAGGUGAAAAUGUGAAUUGAUGAUCCGACCGUUGGAUCAUCACCAAACUUUGAUACGUUGUAAUACGUAAUAUUUGAAGAUUAUUGGAACUUACGGAUUGGGAAUCCGAGUUACGGAUCUUCCGGAAUUGGAAUUGUAAGUCCAUAAUAUAAAAUGUUAACCGUCACUUAGUUUUGGAAAUUGACGGAGAUCCGACCGUUGGAUGGUAAUGAAAUUUUAGGAUGUUGUCCUAGAGGUAUAUUGUAGACCUCUGGAAGUUAUGGAUUUAAAAUCUGAGUGGCAGAUCUUCCGGAUCGAUCAACGUAGUGACGUAUUUUAUUAUAUAAAUUUAUGUAUUCUAUCGAUGUGAAUUCUGAGGUUGGAUUUGAUUACUGUUCUAGGCGGCGAUCGUCAUGACGCCUUGGGCGUAUUGUGCUAGGGAGUUGUAGGGCGAACUCCAGGUGAGGUGGGCAGUUUUGUUUUCCGUAUAUAUAUAUACUUGACGUUUCCCAGAAAUUGAAUUGAAAUGAAAAUAUUGUUUAAAAUGAAAUGCAUAUGAGUUAUGUGGAAAAACGGGAAGUGAAAAUACCAUGCAUAGAAUUGAUAUGAAAAGUAUAUAGAAAUGUGAGUUGAAAUGCCAUGCAUGAAUUGAUAUAUGAUGCAUAUGUAUGAAUUGGUGCGGUGGACGCACAUGUAAGAAUUAAUAUAUGAUGCAUAUGUAUGAAUUGGUGCGGUGGACGCACAUGUAAGAAUUGAUUUAUGAUGCAUAUGUAUGAAAUGGUGCGGUGGACGCACAGGUGAGUAUCAGGUGAUUAUUUAAAUACUGUUAUGAUGAUGUUGAUAUAUAUUGAGCUCAAAUCCUGCACCAUGGUUUAGUGCUUAUAGUAUUCACCGCAUCGCACGCUCGCCUUGGAUCCAAGUAGAUGCUAGUCGUACAGUCCACGCGGAGUGGGUACGACAGACCAGUCGCGAGAGUGUUAGUGAGAUUCCGACUGGUGGGUGACCUUAGAUUAUGUGCACAGAUGAUUUAUGAGAAGCACUAGAGCGUAACUUGUGUGCAGAAGGCCGGACGGGUCACAGAGGUGACUCCGGUAGAGUGAUAAUGAUAGAUUUUGAGCUCUAGGUUCAACCGUACAGGGCUAUUAGAGGGCCUACGGUUGAUUACUUUCUUGCACCUGAUAUGAUUAUGUUGAUGCAUUCAUACCUUAUUACUGUUGAGAUGAUGUGUGCAUGGCAUAAUUAAUAUGAGAAAUGUUGAGAUGAACAUGGCAUGGCAUGAGAUUGAUAAAGAGAUAAUGUUGAGAUAGUAAAAAUGAAGUUUUGAGAAUAUAUAUGUAUAUUUAUAUUUUACAUUUCUGGGAAAGUAUACACAGGUUUUACGGAGAGGGGUUACAACGUUUUGAGAAAUGUUUGGAUUUGGAAAAGAAUUGUUUUACUGACCCACUCAAUUUUGGUUUUGCGCCCCUCCAGGUUCAGGAAUCACAAAGGUGUGGUGACUACGAGGAAUUCGACGGUGUUCUGACAGAUUGGACAAAAUUAGGACUCACCUUCGGGUGUAUCAACUUAUAAAUUGUAUCUUAAAGCUUCCGUACUGUGCAAAUGGUUACGUCACUCUCACGUGACGGCCAGCAUGCCCUCCUUCGGGACGGGGUGUGUCAGUUGGUAUCAAGAGCAUGGUUGCAAUCUUGGACAUCUUGAGAAGUUUUUAGUGAAUUCUGUCAGAACUACACCGCCUCGUAGCAAACCACGUAGUUAGAGGAACUUAGUCUCCCUGAUUUAGCGGUUUGGGGGAAACUAUUAUUAUGGUGAUUCAGUAUAUUAUCAAAUUAACAUUUUAAGACGGGUUAUGAGUUGAAUUUGAAUCACCUUAUGAAAUGAUGAACCUGAGGGAGCGGAGUGACGGUUUAACCAAUUGGAAAAGAUGUUUCAGAUUAUGCAAGUCAAAGGAAAUUUCCUUCUGACAGGUGGGUCGAGACGACUACCUGGUUUUGGGUAUGAAUUUGCAUCCUGGUGGAAACAGGAAUGUUAAUUGUUGUCACCAGAGGAAUCAGCCGAUUUAAAAUUUUUUUAAGGAAAAGUUUAUCCCUCCGGCAUUUAUUGAUGGUAGUAAACAAGAGUUUACAAAUAUGAGACAAGGAAGGUGAUGAUCGAGGGAUAUUAUAGAAAGUUUUCAGACUUGCCUCGUUCCAUCCAGAUAUUGUUGUUAAUUUGGUGGAGGUGUUAUGUUGUUUUAAGCUGGGUGGCAAAAAGGGAAGUGGUAUUUUGGGUGACCACUAUCCAUUAUACUUCUUACCAGGAAUAUACGAGAUGCUGUUGAGUCUUGAGGACUCUGAGAACAUGAGCAACGAGAAUAAAGAAGAAUAAGAAAAGAAUGGGAAUUAAAAGAAGACAAUAAAGUUAAUGAUUCGUCAUAUCAAGAAUAUCGAAGGAUUCAGAGCUUCGAAAGAAGUGAAGCUAGAGUUAAUUCUUCCAGCUGAGGUUUUAAUGUCGCUGGUCAGAGUAAAAGUGAUGGAUAUACUGGUAAUCCCAGAUAUUUGAGACAAGGUGUCUCGAGUAAAGGAAAUGUACUUUGGGCAGCAGGUACAAAAUUAACACUUUGGGAAGUGUGAAAUUAAUGAAUGUGUUUAUGUGAACAGAGGGGACACAGAAUUGUGAAUCGUCCCUAGAAUCAGUUGUACCCAACAGUUUUCUAUGACAUCGUAGUAUCGAUUCAGCAGGUUUAUGGACUUAGUAGUUUGGUCAGAUUGACCGUGGGUACAGAGAGAUUUGAUGAGUUAUAUGUUCAGCCGUACAGACCACGAGAGGUGGAUUUGACUGACACAUGAGAAAUUGGUGAGUUAUAGGCUCGGCCGUACCGACCACGCGGAGUGGAUCUGGCCGACGCAUUAUUGAGGUAAUUGUUGAAUCAGCCGUACAAGUCAUUCUAGUUGACUCCGGCUGAUAUAUAUAUAUUUUAUUAUGAUUGAUAUUACCUAGAGAGUAGUAAAUAAAUGUAGUUGAGACGAGUGUAUGUAUUUUGCAUUGAGUGAUAAAAUAGUAAUGUUAUAUCUUUGAGAGUGGUUGCCUACUUAUCGAGACAACGAUGAUUUAUCAGUAUUGCGGGCUGCAGACCGUAAUAUUAAUAACUCCUUCGUGGAUUCGUUAAGCAAGCAAACCGGUAGGUUAUUUUUAUGUUAGUGUUGUACUUAUUUAGAAUGUUCAGUAUUAAUAAAGUAUGUAUUGUGUCGGUUAAAUUAUUUCCAUUAGAGUGGUUGGUUAUAAUUGUGACUAAAUGGAUUGUUACGGGAAACCAGUCACUUUCCAUCGAUCUGGAUGACCAGAGAUUACUUUUGUAAGUAUGCAAAGUGAAGUGAGUUCAGCCAUUAUUUAUGCUGUGAAAGCAAAGAGAUUGUUUUGAAAGGCUGUCAAAAAUACUUAGCUCAUGUGGUGCUAAAUGAUGUUGUUUGGAGUAGUGUGAAUAAUGUCGAAAGGGUUAGACUUUUCUUGAUGUCUUCCCUGAAAGUAUACCUGGAUUGCCUUCAGGCAGAGAUAUGAGGUUCACUAUUGAUUUGUUGCCAGGUAUAAAUUUAUAUUGGAGAUUGGUUCAUGAUGAGUUAAGGGAAUUGGAAAUUCAGUUGAAAGAAUUGGUUGAUAAAAGUUUCAUUCAACCUAGUACAACACUUUUGAGGAGCCCCAGUUUGUUGGUGAGGAAGAAAAUGGAUCUUGAGACUGUUCAUUGAUUAUAGACAAUGGAGUCGGGUAACGAUUGAGAACCGUUAUCCAUGGUGAUGUACUGAUGUUUAUUUAACCAGCUCAGAAGUAAUUGCGAAGAUUCAAAGAUUGAAUUGAGAUCUGGUUACUACCAAUUGAAUAUUAUAAGUGACGUUGAUCAUAAGAUAGUUUCUGGACUUGUUAUGGUCCUUAUAAAGUUUGGUGAUGCUAUGUGGAUACUCAUGCGGUUUUAUGAGUUGAUGGAUGAAGUAUUCCAAUAAUGCCUUGAUAAUUGAUAUCAUUUUCAUUGAAGAUAUUCUGGCAUAUUCUGAGCCAGAGCAGAGCAUGUAAACGUAUUAAGUCGGUAGAACAAAGAUUGGAAGAAUGUCGAUUGUAUGCUAAGUUUAGCAAAUGCGAAUGUUGGAUGAAUCAAGCAGCAUUUCUGGGAUAUGUUAUAUAUUCUUAAGGUAUUCAAGUGAAUCCUUAAAAGGUAACAGAAAUUAAAAUUUGGAACAACCACGAGUCGUAAUUGAGAUUUGGAAUUUCUUAGCUUACCAGGCUAUCUUGGAUGGUUGUGAAAGAUUUUUCAGUCAUUGCUUUGUCAUUGACGAGACUGUUGAGAAAAGAGGUUAUGUAUGAGUGGGAAGGAAAUUGUGAGCAAAGGAUUCAACAACUGAAGUAUUUCCUCACUCAUGCACGUAUUUUAGUAAUCCUAGAAGAUAGUGGUAAUCAUAAAUUUUUAGUGAUGUUUCUUGAAUGGUAUUGGAGGCAUGUUGAUGCAAAUGUUAGGGUGAUUGUAUAUGUUUCACGACAAAUGGAACCUCAUGAGAUGAAUUACCCUACUGGUGAUUUGGAAGUCACGAUUAUCAUUCUUGCUGUGAAGUUAUGAAGGCAUUAUAUUUGGUAAGAAUGCAAGAUUUUUACGAAUCCAAAAAGUCUUCAAUAUCCAUUACUUGGAAGGAUUUUGAUAUGAGGCAGCGAAAGUGAAUUGUAUUGCUUAAUGAACACGAUUGUACGAUCAGGGUGAUCGUAAAGCUUGUUCUAGCUGAAGCACUUGGUGAGAAGACUACAGUAAGAUUAAUGUCUGGCACGUUUGCCAAGAGUAUCAUCUUGUGGAUUGAAAACCAACGGAAGAAAAAUUAAGAAUGGAAGAUCGAGAAGAAGUUAUACUUGUUAAGUAACAAGUUAGUACAUUUACUCCAGUGUUGAGUAACAACCUUUCCCAGACAGUUCAACAUUACUUAUUUGUUUUAUGGAAAAGAGAAUUGGUUUACGGAACUGCUAAGUUUCUUAAGUAUGUUGGUUGCGCAGUUUCCGAAGUGAAGCCAUAAGGUUCAUGAAGUGUGUCAUGUGUGUAUUUUGUUGACUUGUGAAUGGAAUAUUUCUGGGUAGAGAAAGAUUCGAUCGAGAAAGAGUUUUAGUAGACCCUGAGACUAUGGAUGAGUCUCCUCAAAGUAUUCAGGUGAUUAAGUUAACCUAAAAGUAACCAGGAAUGACAAAAGACAUCAACAGAUGGAUAUGCCACUAAUCGAGUAUAUAAGGUAAAUGGUUUUAUAUUUUAGAAGUGUUCACCUUAGAAAAGUAGAAUUUGGAUUGAAAAAAGAAGGUCCUGAGAGUUAAGAUAGAGUAAAUGGUAAAAGUUUUGUGAAGGAAUCAUUCAGUGGAAGAAAAUUACGUGGGAGAAAAAGAAUCGGAUGAAAAAAAAAAAAAAAAACUUACCGAGGUUGGUAUAAGUGUUGAUGAAUUGGUUGGUUGCUGGAAUUUCGGGGACGAAAUUCUAUAAGGAGGGAAGAUUGUCACAGCCCGUUCCAAAUUAUUAUAUUCGUGGCUGUGAAUGGACGAAAUUGCCCUUAAGAAAUACUAAAUUGUGAAGCUCAGGUUGCUAAUUAUCUAGGUUCCUAAGUUUGAAAAUAAAAUGGAAUUUAAUAAGGAUGGAACUUAGAUUUUUAGGUUAAAAUGUUAAAGUUUGGUGUUUGGAGAUUGGAAUAAGGACCACGUGGGAUCCCCACAUCCCUCAAAACCCUCCUCAUUUCCCGUUCACUGUCUUUCUCUCUCCUCCUUCACGAUUUCUCACUCUCUCUGUCUCUCUCCUUCGAACUCACACGGACCACCACCAAAACCACCCUAAAUCUAUACCAACGUCAAGUUUGAGACCACCAUGG
rnacentral:lncRNA from 1 species